rnacentral:rRNA from 1 species
GGAUGAGCCCGCGGCCUAUCAGCUUGUUGGUGGGGUAAUGGCCCACCAAGGCGACGACGGGUAGCCGGCCUGAGAGGGCGACCGGCCACACUGGGACUGAGACACGGCCCAGACUCCUACGGGAGGCAGCAGUGGGGAAUAUUGCACAAUGGGCGAAAGCCUGAUGCAGCGACGCCGCGUGAGGGAUGACGGCCUUCGGGUUGUAAACCUCUUUCAGCAGGGAAGAAGCGAAAGUGACGGUACCUGCAGAAGAAGCGCCGGCUAACUACGUGCCAGCAGCCGCGGUAAUACGUAGGGCGCAGGCGUUGUCCGGAAUUAUUGGGCGUAAAGAGCUCGUAGGCGGCUUGUCACGUCGGAUGUGAAAGCCCGAGGCUUAACCUCGGGUCUGCAUUCGAUACGGGCUAGCUAGAGUGUGGUAGGGGAGAUCGGAAUUCCUGGUGUAGCGGUGAAAUGCGCAGAUAUCAGGAGGAACACCGGUGGCGAAGGCGGAUCUCUGGGCCAUUACUGACGCUGAGGAGCGAAAGCGUGGGGAGCGAACAGGAUUAGAUACCCUGGUAGUCCACGCCGUAAACGUUGGGAACUAGGUGUUGGCGACAUUCCACGUCGUCGGUGCCGCAGCUAACGCAUUAAGUUCCCCGC